UGAAAAUGUCAUAAUGGGACCCAUUAUUUU
rnacentral:piRNA from 2 species